CGUAGGUGAACCUGCGGAAGGAUCAUUAUUGAAUUAAUGUAGAGUUUGGUUGUAGCUGGCUCCUAAUUAAACUUGGGGGCAUGUGCACACCUUUCUCUUUCAUCCCAUACACACCUGUGCACCUGUGAGACAGAUGUUUUGUGGGGGGGAAGGAACUUUAUUGGACCUUCUACUCCCCCUUGACUUCUGUCUACUUAAUUCAUAUAAACUCAAUUUAUUUUAAAACGGAUGUAAUGGAUGUAACACAUCUAAUACUAAGUUUCAACAACGGAUCUCUUGGCUCUCGCAUCGAUGAAGAACGCAGCGAAAUGCGAUAAGUAAUGUGAAUUGCAGAAUUCAGUGAAUCAUCGAAUCUUUGAACGCACCUUGCGCUCCUUGGUAUUCCUUGGAGCAUGCCUGUUUGAGUAUCAUGAAAUCUUCAAAGUCAAACCUUUUGUUAAUUCAAUUGGUUCUGCUUUGGUAUUGGAGGAUUAUUGCAGCUUCACACCUGCUCCUCUUUGUGCAUUAGCUGGAUCUCAGUGUUAUGCUUGGUUCCACUCAGCGUGAUAAGUUAUCUAUCGCUGAGGACACCCUGUUAAAAAGGGGUGGCCAAGGUAAAUGCAGAUGAACCGCUUCUAAUAGUCCAUUGACUUGGACAAUAUCUAAUUUAUGAUCUGAUCUCAAAUCAGGUAGGACUACCCGCUG
rnacentral:rRNA from 1 species